rnacentral:rRNA from 1 species
ACAAACGCUGGCGGCGUGCCUAACACAUGCAAGUCGUACGAGAAAGUCGGCUUCGGCCGAUGAGUACAGUGGCGCACGGGUGAGUAGCGCGUGGGUAAUCUGCCCCCCGGUCAGGAAUAACCCGCCGAAAGGCGGGCUAAUACCCGAUAACACUGACGCUCCGCGGAGCGUCUUUCAAAGGAGGCCUCUGUUUACAAGCUUUCGCCGGAGGAUGAGCCCGCGUACCAUUAGCUAGUUGGCAGGGUAAUGGCCUACCAAGGCUGCGAUGGUUAGCUGGUCUGAGAGGAUGGCCAGCCACACUGGAACUGAGACACGGUCCAGACUCCUACGGGAGGCAGCAGUGAGGAAUCUUGCGCAAUGGGGGAAACCCUGACGCAGCAACGCCGCGUGAGUGAGGAAGGCCUUCGGGUCGUAAAGCUCUGUCAGAUGGGAAGAAAUGGGUGGGGGCUAAUAUCGCCCAUCCUUGACGGUACCAUCAGAGGAAGCACCGGCUAACUCCGUG